UAAAAGUUCCAAACUUUCCAAUCUUUCCAAUCUUUUUAUGGUGUUUAGAAAGAUCAAUAUAUUCACAUCUAAUCCGCUCCGUCUACGAAGAAAAACAUUCCCAAUUGAAACCCCAACAACUUGAAAUUCAUCACAGAGGCGCAAUUCUGCCAGAGGAUGCUAUCUCUUCAUCUCCUCUCGUCAGUAUCUUCUUUUGACAACCCUUCCCUACAACGUGCGCGCCUCUCAAAACCCGGUAUCAGUUCUAAUCCCCCAAUUCAUUCAAAUGCCAUUUCCCCAAAAUUCGCACAUGCCCACUUCGCCAAUCGCUCUAUUUCCCCUUCUGUAACUCUCAGUCAAUUGCGUAUUCAAUCCCGAAGCAGUAGUUUUCUACCCUUUAAGCCUCCAAACGAUGGAGCCCACUGGAAGAGGGGUUACUGUAGUGCUGUUAAUGACUCUGACGAGAAAACUAGGUCAGUUUUGGACUCCGGUGGCGGCGGUGAUGGAGGUGAAGGAGGCGAUGGAAGUGAUGAUAAUGGGAAGGUGGAUAAGCAAAAGGGUUCUUCCGGGUUUCUGCCAGAAUGGUUGAAUUUAACUUCGGACGACGCCAAAACGGUCCUUGCAGCCAUUGCAAUAUCUCUUGCCUUCAGGACAUUUAUUGCAGAACCGAGGUACAUUCCGUCGCUAUCAAUGUAUCCUACCUUUGAUGUUGGGGAUCGACUUGUAGCAGAGAAGGUCACUUACUAUUUCAGAAAGCCUUGUGCUAACGAUAUCGUGAUAUUUAAAAGCCCACCAGUGCUUCAGGAAGUAGGAUAUACAGAUGAAGAUGUCUUCAUUAAAAGAGUUGUUGCUAAAGGAGGUGAUACUGUGGAGGUCCGGAAGGGAAAACUUAUAGUUAAUGGGGUCGAGAGAGAUGAAAAGUUUGUCCUUGAACCACCAUCAUAUGACAUGAGUCCGGUUCAAGUGCCAGAAAACUCGGUGUUUGUGAUGGGCGAUAAUCGCAAUAACAGCUAUGAUUCUCAUGUGUGGGGUCCACUGCCAGCCAAAAAUAUAAUAGGAAGAUCAUUAUUCCGCUAUUGGCCUCCGAACAGGAUUGGUGGAACCGUUAUCGAGCCUAGCUGUGCUACUGAUAAACAAGAGGGCACUCCUUCCACACCAGAGAUUUCCAGCCAACAGACCACAAAUUCACAACCGUAACAGUUUCGGUCAUGUUCUUUGUUCUGCAAAUGCCUUAUAGUUCCCAUUAGGUCCCAAAUUUGAAAGAUAAAUAUAAAAAGGUUGGAGGUAUUCCAUACGCAAAAGAGCAGUGAGGUUGGACUAAGUCAUUGGAAGUGGAAGCGGUGAGAUAAAAGGGAGAAAGAAAAAGAGAAGAUCAUGUUGGAAGGGAAAGCCACCGUCAAACAAACCGACAUGUCGGAGAAGAUGCAGAUUCACGCCAAGGCCUCUGCAUCUCACGCCCUCGAUCUCUUCGACGUCUCCGAUUGCCUCUCUCUUGCUGCCCAUAUCAAGAAGGAAUUUGAUCGGAGCUAUGGGAGUGGGUGGCAAUGUGUGGUGGGUUCCAAUUUCGGCUGCUUCUUCACUCAUUCAAAGGGGACCUUCAUCUAUUUUUCUCUUGAAACUCUCAAUUUUCUCAUCUUUAAAGCUGCUUCCAACUAAUUAUUUCCAAACUUACCAUUUCAAAGCACCACAAAUGCUUUCAUCUUCAGGGGCACCCUCGUCCUUUCCCCUCCUCCCUCUAAAUCUCAUGGAACCAACCAUGUAUGUGUAUCAAUUAUGUUUCGCCAUUCACUUUCUUUCUUCCUACUUCAUCUCCUUCUACUUGUAAUA